rnacentral:rRNA from 1 species
GACGUAGGGCGCGAGCGUUGUCCGGAUUUAUUGGGCGUAAAGAGCUCGUAGGCGGCCUGUUAAGUCUGCUGUGAAAUCCCGGGGCUUAACCCCGGGCGGGCAGUGGAUACUGGCAGGCUGGAGGCAGGCAGGGGAGAACGGAAUUCCCGGUGUAGCGGUGAAAUGCGCAGAUAUCGGGAGGAACACCGGUGGCGAAGGCGGUUCUCUGGGCCGGUACUGACGCUGAGGAGCGAAAGCGUGGGGAGCGAACAGG